UCUAAACAGUCAAAUCUUUCACUUCUAAUUUAAGGUCAAUAACGAACAUUUUGUUGGACAGAUUAAAAUAACGUGUUGAAAAAAGUAAGACGAAAAUAACGUACAUAACUAGAUUAUAACCCGCGGUACACCGCGGAGACAAUUUGUUUUUAAAAUUAGUAUAUAUAAGAGUCUGCAAAUUAUAUUUAUCUAUAAAAUAUUUACAUUUUAUAGUUUACAAUUGUUAUUAAGUAAUAUCCUUCCAAACUCGUUCCACCAAACCCGUCCCGUUAAAAAAAUCUGCGAUACACCGCUAAUUUAAAUAAAUAUUUUACGGGAUUGCAAUUAUAUUUUAGUUUGUCAAACAAAUUUUUUUUUUAAAUGGUUGUCGAAAUCUAGUUCAAAUAUUGGAGAAAUAAGAUUUAGUGAACUGAUAGGAAAUGUAUUUAGGUGCGUUUUGCUCAUUUUAAGGGAUUGCAAUUGUAUUUUGGUUUGUCAAAUAUUUUUUGUUUUAAAUAGUUUCCGAAAUCUAGUUUAAAUUUUGGAGAAAUUUGCGUGAUAUAUGGGAUUAUAAUAUAUUUGGAAUAUUUUUUGUUUGUUAAUCAAUUUAUUGCCAAAAGAAAACCAAUAAUUAAAAGGCAAUGGCAGGUAUUGUAAAUAAGUUCGAACUCCAGGAUUUAUUUCACAAAAUGGCUGCAAAAAUGUAUAUAUAGAUGUUAGAGAAAAAUCAAAAUGGUUAUUUUUCCUAACUAAAUUCCAUAAUAAAAAUAAAAUUUUAUUUAAAUUUGAUAGAAAGAAAUACUAAUAAGACAGUGGAAAAAAACUAUAUGA
rnacentral:sRNA from 1 species